rnacentral:misc_RNA from 1 species
GUGGGAGGGGGCUUGCCCCCGAUGGCGGCCUGUCAGUCAGCGUGUUUAUAGCUGACCCACCGCCAUCGGGGGCAAGCCCCCUCCCAC